rnacentral:rRNA from 1 species
AGUGAACGCUGGCGGUAGGCCUAACACAUGCAAGUCGAACGGCAGCACAGUAAGAGCUUGCUCUUACGGGUGGCGAGUGGCGGACGGGUGAGGAAUACAUCGGAAUCUACUUUUUCGUGGGGGAUAACGUAGGGAAACUUACGCUAAUACCGCAUACGACCUACGGGUGAAAGCAGGGGAUCUUCGCUCCUUGCGCGAUUGAAUGAGCCGAUGUCGGAUUAGCUAGUUGGCGGGGCAAAGGCCCACCAAGGCGACGAUCCGUAGCUUGUCUGAGAGGAUGAUCAGCCACACUGGAACUGAACCACGGUCCAGACUCCUACGGGCAGCAGCAGAGGGGAAUAUUGGACAAUGGGCGCGAGCCUGAUACAGCCAUACCGAGUGGGUGAAGAAGGCCUUCGGGCUGUAAAGCCCGUUUGUUGGGAAAGAAAAGCAGCAGGUUAAUACCCCGCUGUUCUGACGGUACCAAAAGAAUAAGCACCGGCUAACUUCGUG